rnacentral:rRNA from 1 species
UACGUACUGGGCGAACGUUAUUCGGAAUCACUGGGCUUAAAGGGUGCGUAGGCGGCCUUUCAGGUCCGGUGUGAAAUCUCACGGCUCAACCGUGAAAUGGCGCUGGAAACCGGAAGGCUUGAGUGUGCUAGGGGUGUGUGGAACUUCCAGUGGAGCGGUGAAAUGUGUUGAUAUUGGAAGGAACGCCGGUGGCGAAAGCGACACACUGGGGCACAACUGACGCUGAGGCACGAAAGCUAGGGUAGCGAACGGG